rnacentral:rRNA from 1 species
UACAGAGGUCCCAAGCGUUACUGAGAUUCACUGGGUUUAAAGGGAGCGUAGGUGGCGCGUUAAGUCAGUUGUGAAAUCCCCGGGCUCAACCCGGGAAAUGCUUCUGAUACUGGCGUGCUUGAGGCCGGUAUAGGUUACUGGAACGGACGGUGGAGCGGUGAAAUGCGUAGAUAUCGUCUGGAACGCCAGUGGUGAAGGCGGGUAACUGGGCCGGUUCUGACACUGAGGCACUAAAGCGUGGGUAGCGAACGGG